ensembl:piRNA 21ur-13773 ncRNA
UUUUUGCACGGUUUCGUAUUA